CUCCGCAAGCGCUGGAGGGAGGCCGGGGAGACGCAGGGGAAGCGCGGGGCCGGGGACUGGAGCACUCCUCAGUAUGUAGCAGCCUCAUGCCCACGUUCCUGAGCCCAAGGCCUGCAGACAACCCGAGGGACUUGGCCCCCAGCCCAGAGAAUGCCCUGGAGCGGUGAGGAACAUGCGUUUAGUGUUGAUUGUUUUGUAUGAUCUGCGCUCUCCUGUGCUCUACGUGAUGAAGUAUAAAAGUGCAUUAAUGUG